AGACCGAAAUGACCUGGUAGCCA
rnacentral:siRNA from 1 species